UAGGGAAUCUUCCGCAAUGGACGCAAGUCUGACGGAGCAACGCCGCGUGAGUGAAGAAGGAUUUCGGUUCGUAAAACUCUGUUGUUAGAGAAGAACAGCGCAUAGAGUAACUGUUAUGCGUGUGACGGUAUCUAACCAGAAAGCCACGGCUAACUACGUGCCAGCAGCCGCGGUAAUACGUAGGUGGCAAGCGUUGUCCGGAUUUAUUGGGCGUAAAGCGAGCGCAGGCGGUCAAUUAAGUCUGAUGUGAAAGCCCCCGGCUCAACCGGGGAGGGUCAUUGGAAACGGGUGGACUUGAGUGCAGAAGAGGAGAGUGGAAUUCCAUGUGUAGCGGUGAAAUGCGUAGAUAUAUGGAGAAAAACCAGUGGCGAGGGCGACUCUCUGGUCUGUAACUGACGCUGAGGCUCGAAAGCGUGGGUAGCAAACAGG
rnacentral:rRNA from 1 species